rnacentral:rRNA from 1 species
CGGACGGGUGAGUAAUGUCUGGGAAACUGCCUGAUGGAGGGGGAUAACUACUGGAAACGGUAGCUAAUACCGCAUAACGUCGCAAGACCAAAGAGGGGGACCCUCGGGCCUCUUGCCAUCGGAUGUGCCCAGAUGGGAUUAGCUAGUAGGUGGGGUAACGGCUCACCUAGGCGACGAUCCCUAGCUGGUCUGAGAGGAUGACCAGCCACACUGGGACUGAGACACGGCCCAG